GGCGCUGUGGCUCAAGUGGUAGAGCGCUAGCCUUGAGCAUGCCUGAGGCCCUGGGUUCAAUUCCUCAGCACCA
rnacentral:tRNA from 1 species